CCUUGUACACACCGCCCGUCACAUCACGAAAGUGGGUCGUACUAGAAGUCGGUAGGCUAACCGCAAGGAGGCAGGCGCCGAGGGUGGGACGAGUAACUGGAGCG
rnacentral:rRNA from 1 species